ACACAGACACACACACUCUCCCCACAAGGUGGUUCUGACACAGUCGUUACUGAUCUGGUAUCUACCAUCUGAACAUGUGGAAGCUUGAAUUGCACAGAACUUAAGCAUAAACAGUGCAUGUAACCAUCAGGAGAAUACUAUAUCCAAGGGAACAAAUGAGAGAAAGAUCUGAAAUGUCACAUUUGAGGACUCCUCUGGCAUUUUCUGGGUCAAGUGUCCUCUGCUCUCCGUAGUCUACAAUGGUAUGAGGCGGAUCGAUACCAAACCAGAUGAAGACUCCAAUAAGCUGCACGGAUAUGAGGCUGAAAGUGAUCACCAGCUGGGAAGCUGGACUAAUAAAUUUGGGAGCUGUGACAGA